GGGCUCCGUUUCUCCCGCCGCCGGAGGUUUAAAGCUUUGGUCGGGGUGGGGACGCUUCCUGCCCGGGUUCCGGGGCGGCGGGGCCUGCGCGCAGCGGCCUGCGGUCCGGGAGAGGUCGCGGCGGCCACGGAACCGACCCCACACCCCUCCCCCAUCGCCCACCCCCGGGCGGCGACCUCGGGCUGCCCCCUCGCCCCCUUCCGGCCUCCCCCAGCCCGCGUCUGCGCCGGUGCCUCUAACUUCGCCCUCUUUCAGGUCCGGGCGCUCUCGCUCUCUGCUCCCAGCCCCGUUACUGGCUUCGCAGUGCCGGGAGCCCGCAAGGGGCUAAGAAAGAAGCGCGGGCGGGCGUGUGGGGUUGGGGGCGGGGGAGCGGGAGCAUCUGCCGGUCGCUGGGCUGGCGGAGCAGCGGCCUCGGCUCUCCUGUUGCUCAGGCCGCGGCGCGGCAGCGGCUGGACUCUGAUCCCGGGUCGGGGAGGAGUUGGAGAGGGUGUUCAUCCCCUUCUCCCGGGAUUCACAUACGUGGGAAAUGGGGUUCCCAAAUGAAGAGGGGUGGCUCCUUAUCAUUUCCAGUCAUGCACACAAUCCUCUUAAUGGGCUCGGUGGCCCCAACGUGACACCUAAAAAGUUGAAUGGGAGAGGAGUACUUGCUCCGCCUCAGUCCGGUAGAAAGCCGGCUUUGGCCUCCAGUCCCCCACCCUCGCACUCCUCCCGCGGUAGUUAAUCCGCGGCUCCCUUCUAGGGGAACAUUUACAUGUGAAAACCUCCCCAAACCGGGAACAAAGCUGCCUGCCGCCUUAAAGCUCUAUAGUUUUAUCUCAAGUCUGAUUCCAGGUGCUGUUUUUGGAGCGUAGAGUCCACACGUCCUCUUCAUCAGAAUCGAUUUGGGGAGAGGGGACUUGACCAUUGGUGAUUUGAAAUACAGUUACAGAAUGGAAACUUGUCAUAGGUUGAGUUGGAUUAUUUUCCUUUUCCAAACACUGAAGAUAAACCCAACAUUGAAAAAGUGAGAUGUAGUGCUGUAGCUCUAGAUGUCUUGAUACGGCGUUAAAAACUUGCAUCUCACAGUAAGGUUUUGUAAUUUCACUUGUAACAGAAUUAACGUGCGGUAACUUUCCUUUAGAUUUGCAGUCCCGUAAUGUGGGAUCUUCCAGCAACACGGCAGUUAGGAUCUUUUAUUGCCUUACAGAUUAUCCUAGAAAUGAUUUGUCUUUAACCGAUGGGUGCAUAAAAUGUCUUAACUGGAGUAGCAACUGGUGUUGGACAGUGUGAUGAUUUUCAAAAUAACGAAAUAACAUUUCCUAAUAUUUGAUGGCUAGAGAAUUUCUGAUAUUGCUCCAAAGAUUUCAGGUCUGGAAGUUGACUUGGUUUCUUGAAGGCGAAGUUUACUUGGAGUGUUGGCUCCAUGAGGGCAGGGAGUUUCUGUUCUUUCCUCCUCCUCUCACCAUAGGAGGCCAAUAUGCGUUGAAUGCAUGAGAAUUUUACAAAUGGUACAACAGUUUUUAAAAAUUAUAAGUACAUUUCUUUCCCAAGAUAAAACCUUAUUGACUCUUUUUAAUGUCAACUUAUAAUGAAGAAGGGGAUUUUUAGAGUAUUCUCAAGAUCAGAAGUAUUUAAUUCUGAGUUAAGCAGUGUGGAAGUUGACAGUAAGCACAUUAAGCAAAAUAUCUUACGUUCUGGAAAAGUGUGAUCAGGAGUUUUUACUUUGAAAAACAAAAAUAAGGUAGGAUACUGAUUUCUCAAAAAAGGGAAAUGGUAUUUUAACCUUUUUAAAAUGUACAAAAUGAGAGUUUUCCUGUCAUUAUUCACCUUUCUGCUCAAAUUUUUAUUUCCAUUCCUACUCUUUAUGAACUGCAAAUUACAUUAUGUUAGGUGUGUGUUGCCAGUUCUGAUUUCUGAAGAAACUUUCUUCUGGAGAAAUUAGUCUGACUUUAAAAUUCAUCUUCUUGUGUUGUUUGAUUUGUAGUCCUUCUCGGUUAUAACUCCCCAUUCAUGAAAUGUUAUUGGUUAGUUUCUUGUAACCUCAAAUCUCCCAAGUCUUACUUUAAUUCUAUAAACUUUUAAAUGCGUGCUCAGCUACAAAGCUUUGUCCUGAAUACUGUGGUACUACCAAGGAUCUCUGUCCCCUAGGAGCCUGAUCUAAUAGAGGACACAAGACUUAGGCAAAUAACUUUAACAUGUGAUAGAACAACUUCCUUUGGGGCUCUUAAAAAAUACCCUGGGAUGGCUAUGGGGGAUCAGUGAAGACUUGGGAAGAGAAGGUGGAGUAAGUUUUAGGAUUUCAGAAGGUGUAGAAAGUAGUGAUUGAAGGGCAACAGUGCUGAGGAGUGAACAGUAGUUUGAUUCCAAAGGCUACUGGAAAGUAAAGAUGGUUAAGUAAUUCGGGGCCUGACAAGUUUCAUGUCUGUCUAAUGUGUUUAAAUUUCACUUUUAGGCUCUGGAUAAACUGAAGGCUUUAAGUAGUGGGGUGAUAUAAUCAAGAAAACUGCUUGAUUUGUAUAUAUUGUAGAAGGCAGAGAUUUGAGGAAGAUUGGCAUUUUGAGGACUGAGGUAGAAUUGAGUAAAAUCUGAACUUGGCCUGUCUAUAGUGGUAGGGAGAGGAGGGAUCCGUGGACCUGCCAUCUGAAAGGCUAAUAAGCUCCUUUUGCCCCCACAUUCUAGGUGCUGGGAAAGUGGUGAUGCUGCUCUCACAAGUCAGGCAGUUAGCAUAAGCAUAUUUAGUGGAAGAGGAAAUAUGUUUGGUUUUUUAACAGGUUGAGAUUGAGUGGAAAAGUCAACGUGGAAAUUUUUGGCAAGCAGUUGGGCAUGUAGGACUCAAACUUGGAAGCAACCAAGAAAUAGAGGAAGACAUAUGGGAGUCACUCUCAGAUGUGCCCUGGAGAAAAUUGAGGGGGGGAGAAAAGGAAUUAAUAUUUAAUAAGCAUCUAUGGCGUAUCAGGCAUUUUAUAAAUACGUGUCUGAUAUUCCCACAACCUUGCACAGACAUCCAUUUAUAGAUGAGGAAACUGAUUUUCAAAGAAGUUAAAUAACUGGCCCAGGGGCAUACUGUCAGCUAAUGGUAGCGCUGGGAUUUGAAUGCACAUCUCCCCAUCUUAAUUGCUGCCUAAAGAUAAUAUUUUGUAUAAUACAGUUACAGGUUACAGGUUAAGACUUAAGAAAACUACUAAAAUUUGAGAGUAAUGGAAUCUGAAGUUUAAGGUUGAGUGGUGAUGAAGGAGAUAAGGAAAUAAAGGUCACAAAUGUAGUCUUUUUUAGAAGUUUGGUUGUGAGGGAUUUAAGGACAAAGUUGCCUCAAGAAUGAAGGGAAAGAAGAGCAGUUAACAGGGUAGGAGGCACUAGUGGUAGGCCAUUUGUAUGUUUGUAUAGCAUAUAUGUGAUCUUAGCCUUAAUAAGUGAUGUUGAAGCCCUGGUCUCAGGAGUAGAAGUUUGAGCAUGUUGGGGGAGGGUAAGUGUAGAGAAGCACAGUUUAAAAAUAAAAGGGCUUGCUUGGAACACAAUUGUGGCUAAAAGGAAGGGUACAGAUCAGCACGGGUAAAAGAGGUCAGUAUCUCUGAUACAGGAAGGAAGAUAAAAAGAAUGAAGUUAUUAAAGACACCCUUUAAACAGGAGUUUUAUGGUGAGACGCUUUGUUAAGUGUUGUAAAAAGAUGAGUGAAAAAAAUGAGUGACUAAUUAUAGCCAAUACUUGUUUUCUGCUAUGUUUAUGUAUUCCUUAAUGUGAAGAGUUUGGUAUUUUGUAAGUUUGUUGAAUGAAUGAAAGUUACAGAUUGGUUAAUCCAUUGAUUUCAUUUUUAGCCUUUAACCAAUCUUUUCUAAUCCCAACAGAUUGUAUCUUCCCACACUUUUGGGAGGGGAGCAGCAUUUAUGAUUUUAAGACUUUUAAUUAGGGGCAGCUGGGUGGCUCAGUCGGUUAAGCAUCAGACUCGAUUUUGGCUCAGUCCUGAGAUCAAGCAGGUUGGGCUCAGAGCUCAACAUGGAGUCUGCUUGAAAUUCUCCCUUUCCCUCUGCCCCUCCCUGCAUGAGCGCAGGACACCUGUACUUACUUGCUCUCUCUAAAAUAAAAUCUUUUCUUAAAAAAAGACUUAAAGUAUAAGAAAGUGCAGAGAAGAUAUAACAAGAAUGGACAGUUGUUACUAUUAUAAGUGUUUUUAAUUUAAGCUUAAAGUAUUACAAGUUAAAGUCCUUUCCUCCCACAGAGGCAAUCAAAAUGCAUUUAGUAUCAAUCACUGUGGUACAUAAGCAGUAUAUAAUCUGUAUUUUGAUAUGCAUAAGUGGUAUAUAUACUCGUGGGGUUUUUUUUCUCAAACGUUGUUAAUAUUAAGAUUUCAUUCUAAUGCUGGGUAGUAUGCCAUCAUUUGAAUAAACCAUAUUUUACUUAUCUGGUUCCCCAGUUGAUGAACAUUUAAGUUGCUUCUCAGUUAUUGCUGACAAACACUGCAUGAACUUUCUCAAACAUACCUCCAUUGUAUAAGAGUCUCUCUGGGGCAGCUGUUCUCAAACUUUGGAUUUUGACUCCUUUAACUCUUUUUUUUUUUUUUUUAAAGAUUUUAUUUAUUUAUUUGACAGAGACACAGCGAGAGAGGGAACACAAGCAGGGGGAGUGGGAGAGGGAGAAGCAGCCUUCCCGCCGAGCAGGGAGCCCGACACGGGGCUUGACCCGAGGACCCUGGGAUCAUGACCUGAGCCGAAGGCAGACGCUUAACGACUGAGCCACCCAGGCGCCCCUUGACUCCUUUAACUCUUAAAGGUUAAGGACUACAGAGAGCUUUUGUAUCUGUGGAUGAUACCAUAUAUAUAUAAUAUGUCUUUGGGAUAUUUAUCAUCUUAGAAAUUUAAUCUGAGAAAUACAUUUAUUGAAAAUCACAAAUCCAUUAUAUUUUAACAUAAAUAACAUUUUAAAUGAAAAAUAAUGUUUCCCCCCCCAAAAGUGAGAAGAGUGACAUUGUUUUAUAUUUUUGCAAAUCUCAUUUAAACUUUGGUUUGUAAACCUGGAUUCUCAUAUCUACUUCUUUAUUCAGUCUCUUGUAAUUAGACACAUCAGGUAGCCUCUGGAAAACUUUGCUGUACACUUGUGAGAAAAUGAAUGAAAGGGGCAAGAAAUGUUUUAGUAUUAAAAUGAAAACAAUUUUUACCUCACAGACCACUGAAAGGAACUCAGACUCCCAGGGAUCCUCAGAUUAUUUUUAGAGAACUACAGCGCUGAGAUACUGAGGUGGUGUACAUACAAUGUUAUGUUGAAGUGCAGGAAGAAAAUACAAGAACUUUAACAUUCAUUUUUAUUUUUAAACUCAGAUUAAGCUUUAUGAAUAUUUUAUGUAUGAAUUUAUGUUGGUACACUUACCACUGGGCUGUCAGUCUUGAACCACCAUAUUAUCCUGAAGGAAGAGUUGUGUUCCACAUAUCAGCGGGGAACUUGCCACCCCUUUCUUUUCCCACUGGAAAUUUUUGUGUAUGGACUAUCGUAUGUUUUACCUCUUGAUUACUAGGUAUGGUUAUCUUCCAGAAUUUAAAUCAGAUGAUGAAGAUACUUUAAGUAUUUUUUUCUAAACCUGUUAAUGUUCGUCUUUAGUUGUUCUUGAUCAUUUCCUUCCAAGUCUAUCUAAAGCAGUGGACAAAGAGUUGACACAAGAUUCUUAACUGUGUGAAAGAGAUGUAGAGGACCAGGCCACAGUUGAAGUAAAAUUGAAGGUUUUUUUCUUGCCUCAUUUGACCAUGUUAUGCUGUUACCACAGGAGUUUUAGAUACUAAAAGUUAUCAUGGUAUUCCUCUGCUCUUUCUCGACUCUCAGAGAAUUGCUUAUCUCCAACAACAGUAGAGGUCUGGCCUUACGGUGAAUGUAAUAAUGCUGGCUCUUCAGAGCUUUCUGUUGCAGCAUUUAUCACUGAUGUUCUUGUUGAAAAUAACCUCUACCCUAGAAUUCUCACAUUUCAUUUAGUAUUUUGUUUCAGAAAAAAUUACAUGGACACAUGGUAAGGAGCUAAUUCAGAGAAAAAUUGGAGUAAUGGAAAAGUUGGCUUAUAAAUCUUGUGAAACAGGGUUCAGGACAUAAAACUACCUGGCAGAAAGUUGACAAAUGGUAGUUGGUAUUGGGGCAGGGUGUUUUUUUUGCCAGAUAUAAAUUGUAGGUUCUCUGCCAUGGAACCCAAGUGAAUAUAAUUACUUCAGCAUUCCAGGUAACUUGUGUAGAUAUCUGCACACCUUGAAGUCUUGUUUUAAAAUAUGUUUUGGUAACAUGGUAGGAAAAAAGUUCUUACAUAAAUGAUGGACCCUUAGUAUUGUUCAUAACAUUUGUUGAGAUAAUAUGCCAGAUUUUUUUUUUAAGCAUACUUCAGAGCAACGGCAUACAUCUUUAAUGAUGAGCUAAAAACAAGCUACACGACGUUAUCAGCUAUGUAGAAUAAGCAGUUUGCCCAUUAUUCAAAUUUUUGGUAACAUUAGUUGAUUAAUACUCUUUCUAUGGAACAGGAAAAAGUAGAGUUUGGUAGUAGUUCAGCUUGCCUUAGGACUAGGCCUUGAAAAGAUCUGUUGAAAGCUUAGACUUCAAGAGACGUGUCUGCAUUUCUCUGUUAAUAUUAUGUGUGAUUAGCAGUGUACUAUCACGAUUUUUUGUUUCUUGUUUUUUUUGAGAACUAUUAAGAUUUCACAAACAGUAUUAUAAUUUAUUAUACCCUGGUCACCUUCGUCCUAUUAAGUAUUUGCAUGGUUUAUUGAUUACAUUUCAUUGCUUUAUAGCUAGAGCUCUUUAUUGGUCCUUGUGAAGGCAUAAAUAUAGAAACUUUGAUAUUCCAGUGAAGCACAUUGUACUGAUUAGUAGUGAAUUUGCAAGAAAUCCAAUGUAACUCUGGAGUGAAGUUAAGAAUUAGAAGCUAAAGUUUUGAUGGAGUCACGGGGUGGGUAGUGGGGGAGACGGCAGGGCUCAGUGAAAAGUAGAGGGCCAUCCAAGUUCUUCUGAAAGUUAUAAUUUGUGUUUGGAUAAUUGGUGAUUUUGGUAUAAACCUAUGUGGGUCAGUAAUCCUAGUUGGAAGAGACUGUAGAGCAGUGGCACACCUUGCAUAUUUGACAUCCAGAGCACAAUUUUUCUUUUUAAUACAUCCCUCUGCUACAACAAAAUUAAUUCCAGAAAUAAUCAUGAGAAUGGCCAAGAAAGAAACCUGAACUUUAUGCCGGUUGCAAAUAUAUAUAUACAACAGUGGAAAAAAGUUAAUAUUUUUAAAUUGCAUUGAUACUUUUUUUGAAAAGCUUACCUACAUACUGGUCUGUCAUAUUGACUUACUAUGAUAUUCCAGUUUCUUUUCAAGCCUUACCUUCUGCAUAUUUGUUAGUGAUUGUCAAGAUGAUCUUCACACAUUUGUGUUCCGUAGACAGUUAUAGCCCGCUUGAUCAGUCUUCACCCAUAAUUGAUUAAAGAAUACUUUUUAUUAGUUUUAAUUAUGAAAAGCUGUAUAUAAAGCAACAGACAUACACUAGUUAGGGAGCCUUAAAUAUAAGUUAACCUUUGGUUAGAAAUUUAGGAAAAAACCACUUCACAAUAAAUCUAAAAAUCUAGAAUGUCUUUCCACAUUGAUUGUAGUGACUUUCAAAUGUCUCCUCACUAAAAAAAAAAAAUUCACUGAAAUGUUUCCACCGAAAAAUUCAGUAUAGAUUUCUAUUAGUUAAACAUUCUUUAAAUUAUGUGUAAAUGUCUACUUCCUUACAUUUUGUAGAGUAGUAAUGGCAUUCUCCAUGAUUUUUAUUCAUGGAUCUUCAAGCUCUGUGUUCCACUAUACUGUUGCUCAGGGCUGAUUCUGGCUGUUUGUAAAUAUUUAUACCAGAAAAAUAGAUUUCAGAAAGAAGAAUUGCACUCAGCUAUCGUAUUUUGAAUGUACUCUUUAAACACAUACACACACGUAUAUUGGAACCACAGGAUUGGAGAAAGAAACAGCCUAAGUGCAGGCUAUCCUAAAUCUCUUUGUAGUGACUCUCCAGAUGAACAGGUAUGGUGAAUCUGCAUAUUUUGGGCACUCACCACAUAACUGGAGGAUUUCCUAAUGAAUUUCCACUUAGAAUAGAUGGCUUAAUAGAGGAUAUGUAGUAAAAGUGUAUAGAUUUGAUGCUUAUAUAUUGUUAAAACUUAAGUCACCACAGCAAUAGAUUAAAACUUAAGCAUCUCAGUCAACAACAUAUUUUAGGGGAAGGAAUAUUUUAUACGUGAUAUUAUUUAGAAUUGCCAGUGCUUAGUGAUGCUAAAAGGAUGUCAAUUUUAUUAAUUGUAUUUAGAGUCUUUAGAGACAAUUUACCCACUGAUUGCCUGACCUGUAUUUGCUUCUCCCAUUGUCCCACUGUUACCUUAGAGAGCAGUAGUUGACCAACUCUGUAGUCUGUAAAUCUCCUUCUGCAAUAUUUAUUAUAUAUCUUUAUGCAUUUUAUCAUGAUUAUUCUACUUUUUUCCCCCUUUUGACUUUGUCAGAGCUGAGUUUUAGCUGAAGUAGAAUUAUACCCUGCUGAAAAGAAGCCUAUAAUAUGGAAAUUUACAGUAAUACGCCUUUUAAGCCUUUAGGAAACAAAAUAUUCUUUAGACUUUAAUGGCCAUAUAUCACCUCGUUCACCUUAAUUAAGAGAUGCUGAAUAAUAAAUCCCUUUGGAAAGGACAGCCAGGUUUGGGGUUCAUUGGAGAUAUGUUCAAAUCUUUAUAAAGGCUUUAAUUAUUGUUUAAUGUCAAAAAUAGGCAAAUCCAUAGAGACAGAUUAUUGGUUGGUGGCAGGGAGGAAUGGGCAUGGAAUUUUUUGGAGGGGAUUAAAGUAUUCUAAAACAAAAUAGUGCUGAUGGCUGCCCAACUCUAAAUAUAAUAAAAACAAAAACAAAAAAACACUGAAUUGUAUACUUUAAAGGGGUGAGCUUUAUGGUAUAUGAAUUAUAUCUCAAACCUGUUUAAAAAAUAGGAAAACGUUAGUUUUUAGCACAUCAUUUCCAUUGUUUUGUUGCUUAAUCUGAUUUUCUUUCCAUUGAAAACAGUAUCUAGUAGCUACCAAGAGGCACUGUAAAUUAUUUUGUUGAUCCUGAAUCGUAAGUUUGUUUUAUAGGGUAUCUUUAGUUUUUACAUGCUAUUUUAAGUAAUCCAAUGGGGACAGUUCAGGGGAAGGACAGGAAAGGAAUCCUGCAUUUGCUCCUUAACCCACCAGCCAGAUGCAGCUAAUGGGCUAAGAGUUUUAUAUAGGUGUGUCUUUCCAUUCUUUUCAUUUUAAAGGUAAGGAAACCGAAGAGGUGGUGUGAAUUGACCAAGGUCACACCGUGUAGAAAUGGCAGUUCGGAGAUUUGACUGAGUACUCUGAGUACCCAUCUGAGCCCAGUCCAUAGCCCCACACAGUUGUGCUGAAGGUUUUUGAGCAGUGGAUCUUUGUCUGCUGGAGUGUUUAUGAGAGGAGAGGGAUCACUAACAACUUUUGUACAUCUGAAGCAUGGUUGCAAGUGCACCAAAAUGUAUACUUUUGGAAGGAUUUGUAGAAGUUUAAGAAUAAUGAAGUUUGGUAAGUUUUUAAGUCAUGCAUAGAUAAUCCAUAUUUAAAACUUAAAUGCACUUUUAGGCCUUUAUAUUUCUUUCACUAAUUUAUAUUCACAAUUAAAAUUUUAAAUUGAUUGAGGAUUUAAUAAAUGCUAACAUUUUCAAUUUUAGUCCCAUACUUGCGCAUAAAUCCAUUCAUGACAACUUUGUGGAAAUAACUGGUUAUAAAUGAGAUACAUUAAGUAUGGGAUAAUUUUUCUUUUUUCUUCUAAUCAAACAAUUUUAUAUCCAGAACUGAUUUUUCUUUUUUCUUUUUUUUUUUAAAGAUUUUAUUUAUUUAUUUGACAGAGACAUAGCGAGAGGGAACACAAGCAGGGGGAGUGGGAGAGGGAGAAGCAUGCUUCCCACUGAGCAGAGAGCCUGAUGCGGAGCUCGAUCCCAGGAUCCUGGGAUCAUGACCUGAGCCGAAGGCAGACACUUAAUGACUGAGCCACCCAGGCGCCCCUAAUUUUUAUUUCUUCUGUUGAAGUCUAGGAGGAAAUAUUUAAUUCACAAUUUUUUUUUUUUUUUUUUUAAAGAUUUUAUGUAUUAGAGAGAGAGCACAGGCAGGGGCAGAGGGAGAAGGAGAAGCAGGCUCCCUACUGAGCAAGGAGCCCAAUGCAGGGCUCCAUCCUAGGAUCCCGGAUCAUGACCCAAGCUGAAGGCAGACGCCCUUCACAAAAAUGUUCUGUAGCCAAUUUGGGGGGAUGUAAAGUUCACUAGUGAGGCACAGUAAAAGUAAUUUUGCAAUCUGGAAUCUGCUGGUAGAGCAAUGGCACAGAUAAAAUAUUUGCCAUUUCUUAAAAUCACCUGCCUAUUUCUUGAUCAAGUGAAAAGAAAGAAGUGGAGGAUUGAUUGCAAUUCGGUGAACCAAAAUGUAGCUAAGGAAUAGAAAAAUCGUUGUCCUAAGCUGGAACUGAAUGGGUUAAAAGCCCUGCUAAAGAGAGGCAGCCUUGGUUCUUUUUUUUUUUAAAGAUUUUGUUUAUUUUUAUUUAUUUGACAGAAAGAGAGAAACAGCAUGAGAGGGGAUAGGGUCAGAGGGAGAAGCAGGCUCCCCGCCGAGCCGGGAGCCCGAUGCGGGACUCGAUCCCAGGACUCCGGGAUCAUGACCUGAGCCGAAGGCAGUCGCUUAACCAACUGAGCCACCCAGGCUCCCGAGGCAGCCUUGGUUCUAAAGUGAAAAGUUUUGAGUGAGGGGCGCCUGGUUGGCUGGAUCUGAUUGGGUUAAAGAUCUUGGAAGGGGUUAAUUAUCCUGAAUUAUCUAGAUGAGCACAGUGUAAUCCCAAGGGUCCUUAAACGAAAGAGGGAGGAGAGUCAGAAAGUGAUGUGACAGCAGAAGCACAAAGGUAAGGGAGAAGAUGCUACCCUGUUGGCUUUGAAGAUGGAGGAAGAGAAAGACCAAGAGCCAAAGGAAUGUAGGCACCCUGUAGAAGCUGGAAAAGCCAAGGAAUGUAUUCUGCCCUAGAGCCUCCAGCACCUGCCGGCACUUGAAUUCAGACUAGCGAGAUUCUGACCUCCAAAACUGUAAGAUAAGUUUGUGUUGUUUUUAAGCUAAGUUUGUGGUAAUGUGUUAUUGCAGAAAUAGGAAACAUUAAAAAAAAAAAAACCAAUUCACUAGAUUCCAUUAACACAGUAAUACAUCUGGACGAUGUCCAUUUGGGGAUA